rnacentral:rRNA from 1 species
CCCUGGCGGCGAGCGGCGAACGGGUGAGUAAUACAUCGGAACGUACCCUGUCGUGGGGGAUAACUAACCGAAAGGUUAGCUAAUACCGCAUACGACCUGAGGGUGAAAGCGGGGGAUCGCAAGACCUCGCGCGAUAGGAGCGGCCGAUGUCAGAUUAGCUAGUUGGUGAGGUAAAGGCUCACCAAGGCGACGAUCUGUAGCGGGUCUGAGAGGACGGCCCGCCACACUGGAACUGAGACACGGUCCAGACUCCUACGGGAGGCAGCAGUGGGGAAUUUUGGACAAUGGGGGCAACCCUGAUCCAGCCAUUCCGCGUGAGUGAAGAAGGCCUUCGGGUUGUAAAGCUCUUUCGGCAGGAACGAAACGGUGCAGGCUAAUACCUUGCAUCAAUGACGGUACCUGAAGAAGAAGCACCGGCUAACUACGUGCCAGCAGCCGCGGUAAUACGUAGGGUGCGAGCGUUAAUCGGAAUUACUGGGCGUAAAGCGUGCGCAGGCGGUUUUGUAAGACAGAUGUGAAAUCCCCGGGCUUAACCUGGGAACUGCGUUUGUGACUGC